rnacentral:rRNA from 1 species
CAGUCGCCGCGGGAAUACGGAGGGUGCAAGCGUUAAUCGGAAUUACUGGGCGUAAAGCGCACGCAGGCGGUCUGACAAGUCAGAUGUGAAAUCCCCGGGCUUAACCUGGGAACUGCAUCCAAAACUGGCAAGCUAGAGUACGGUAGAGGGUGGUGGAAUUUCCUGUGUAGCGGUGAAAUGCGUAGAUAUAGGAAGGAACACCAGUGGCGAAGGCGACCACCUGGACUGAUACUGACACUGAGGUGCGAAAGCGUGGGGAGCAAACAGGAUUAGAUACCCGAGUAGUCCCUGUCUCUUAUAC